AGCGUACACGGUGGAUGCCCUGGCAGUCAGAGGCGAUGAAGGACGUGCUAAUCUGCGAUAAGCGUCGGUAAGGUGAUAUGAACCGUUAUAACCGGCGAUUUCCGAAUGGGGAAACCCAGUGUGUUUCGACACACUAUCAUUAACUGAAUCCAUAGGUUAAUGAGGCGAACCGGGGGAACUGAAACAUCUAAGUACCCCGAGGAAAAGAAAUCAACCGAGAUUCCCCCAGUAGCGGCGAGCGAACGGGGAGCAGCCCAGAGCCUGAAUCAGUGUGUGUGUUAGUGGAAGCGUCUGGAAAGGCGCGCGAUACAGGGUGACAGCCCCGUACACAAAAAUGCACAUGCUGUGAGCUCGAUGAGUAGGGCGGGACACGUGGUAUCCUGUCUGAAUAUGGGGGGACCAUCCUCCAAGGCUAAAUACUCCUGACUGACCGAUAGUGAACCAGUACCGUGAGGGAAAGGCGAAAAGAACCCCGGCGAGGGGAGUGAAAAAGAACCUGAAACCGUGUACGUACAAGCAGUGGGAGCACGCUUAGGCGUGUGACUGCGUACCUUUUGUAUAAUGGGUCAGCGACUUAUAUUCUGUAGCAAGGUUAACCGAAUAGGGGAGCCGAAGGGAAACCGAGUCUUAACUGGGCGUUAAGUUGCAGGGUAUAGACCCGAAACCCGGUGAUCUAGCCAUGGGCAGGUUGAAGGUUGGGUAACACUAACUGGAGGACCGAACCGACUAAUGUUGAAAAAUUAGCGGAUGACUUGUGGCUGGGGGUGAAAGGCCAAUCAAACCGGGAGAUAGCUGGUUCUCCCCGAAAGCUAUUUAGGUAGCGCCUCGUGAAUUCAUCUCCGGGGGUAGAGCACUGUUUCGGCAAGGGGGUCAUCCCGACUUACCAACCCGAUGCAAACUGCGAAUACCGGAGAAUGUUAUCACGGGAGACACACGGCGGGUGCUAACGUCCGUCGUGAAGAGGGAAACAACCCAGACCGCCAGCUAAGGUCCCAAAGUCAUGGUUAAGUGGGAAACGAUGUGGGAAGGCCCAGACAGCCAGGAUGUUGGCUUAGAAGCAGCCAUCAUUUAAAGAAAGCGUAAUAGCUCACUGGUCGAGUCGGCCUGCGCGGAAGAUGUAACGGGGCUAAACCAUGCACCGAAGCUGCGGCAGCGACGCUUAUGCGUUGUUGGGUAGGGGAGCGUUCUGUAAGCCUGCGAAGGUGUGCUGUGAGGCAUGCUGGAGGUAUCAGAAGUGCGAAUGCUGACAUAAGUAACGAUAAAGCGGGUGAAAAGCCCGCUCGCCGGAAGACCAAGGGUUCCUGUCCAACGUUAAUCGGGGCAGGGUGAGUCGACCCCUAAGGCGAGGCCGAAAGGCGUAGUCGAUGGGAAACAGGUUAAUAUUCCUGUACUUGGUGUUACUGCGAAGGGGGGACGGAGAAGGCUAUGUUGGCCGGGCGACGGUUGUCCCGGUUUAAGCGUGUAGGCUGGUUUUCCAGGCAAAUCCGGAAAAUCAAGGCUGAGGCGUGAUGACGAGGCACUACGGUGCUGAAGCAACAAAUGCCCUGCUUCCAGGAAAAGCCUCUAAGCAUCAGGUAACAUCAAAUCGUACCCCAAACCGACACAGGUGGUCAGGUAGAGAAUACCAAGGCGCUUGAGAGAACUCGGGUGAAGGAACUAGGCAAAAUGGUGCCGUAACUUCGGGAGAAGGCACGCUGAUAUGUAGGUGAAGUCCCUCGCGGAUGGAGCUGAAAUCAGUCGAAGAUACCAGCUGGCUGCAACUGUUUAUUAAAAACACAGCACUGUGCAAACACGAAAGUGGACGUAUACGGUGUGACGCCUGCCCGGUGCCGGAAGGUUAAUUGAUGGGGUCAGCGCAAGCGAAGCUCUUGAUCGAAGCCCCGGUAAACGGCGGCCGUAACUAUAACGGUCCUAAGGUAGCGAAAUUCCUUGUCGGGUAAGUUCCGACCUGCACGAAUGGCGUAAUGAUGGCCAGGCUGUCUCCACCCGAGACUCAGUGAAAUUGAACUCGCUGUGAAGAUGCAGUGUACCCGCGGCAAGACGGAAAGACCCCGUGAACCUUUACUAUAGCUUGACACUGAACAUUGAGCCUUGAUGUGUAGGAUAGGUGGGAGGCUUUGAAGUGUGGACGCCAGUCUGCAUGGAGCCGGCCUUGAAAUACCACCCUUUAAUGUUUGAUGUUCUAACGUUGACCCGUAAUCCGGGUUGCGGACAGUGUCUGGUGGGUAGUUUGACUGGGGCGGUCUCCUCCUAAAGAGUAACGGAGGAGCACGAAGGUUGGCUAAUCCUGGUCGGACAUCAGGAGGUUAGUGCAAUGGCAUAAGCCAGCUUGACUGCGAGCGUGACGGCGCGAGCAGGUGCGAAAGCAGGUCAUAGUGAUCCGGUGGUUCUGAAUGGAAGGGCCAUCGCUCAACGGAUAAAAGGUACUCCGGGGAUAACAGGCUGAUACCGCCCAAGAGUUCAUAUCGACGGCGGUGUUUGGCACCUCGAUGUCGGCUCAUCACAUCCUGGGGCUGAAGUAGGUCCCAAGGGUAUGGCUGUUCGCCAUUUAAAGUGGUACGCGAGCUGGGUUUAGAACGUCGUGAGACAGUUCGGUCCCUAUCUGCCGUGGGCGCUGGAGAACUGAGGGGGGCUGCUCCUAGUACGAGAGGACCGGAGUGGACGCAUCACUGGUGUUCGGGUUGUCAUGCCAAUGGCACUGCCCGGUAGCUAAAUGCGGAAGAGAUAAGUGCUGAAAGCAUCUAAGCACGAAACUUGCCCCGAGAUGAGUUCUCCCUGACUCCUUGA
rnacentral:rRNA from 1 species